UUUUAGCCCCGAUAGAAGUGGAAAUCCUUUUGUGCCGGGGUUCGGCACAAAAGAUUGUAACGAAUAGCGGGAUUAGCU
rnacentral:sRNA from 1 species